rnacentral:rRNA from 1 species
AGGACGAACGCUGGCGGCGUGCUUAACACAUGCAAGUGGAGCGACGAACCAGGGCUUGCCCUGGGGCAGAGCCGCGAACGGGUGAGUAACACGUGGGUAACGUACCCCGAUGACUGGGACAACCCGGGGAAACCCGGGCUAAUACCAGAUGUCGCCCCCUCACAUCAGUGAGGUGUAGUAAAGGAGUCUUCGGCCUCCGCAGUCGGGAUCGGCCUGCCGGCCCUAUUAGCUUGUUGGUGAGGUAACGCUCACCAAGGCUGCGAUGGGUAGCUGGUCUGAGAGGACGAUCGAGCCACACUGGGACUGAGACCACGGCCCAGACCUCCGUACGGGAGCAGCGAGGUAGGGAAUCGUUGCGACAAGUCGCGACGAAAGCGUAGACGCAG